rnacentral:rRNA from 1 species
GACGUAGGAUGCGAGCGUUGUCCGGAUUCAUUGGGCGUAAAGAGUUCGUAGGCGGUUUGUUAAGUCUGAUGUAAAAGGCUCGGGCCCAACCCGAGUAUCGCAUUGGAUACUGGCAGACUGGAGUGCAGUAGAGGCAAGUGGAAUUCCCAGUGUAGCGGUGAAAUGCGUAGAUAUUGGGAAGAACACCGGUGGCGCAGGCGACUUGCUGGGCUGUAACUGAC